UAGGAAAUACUAGGGAUAGGCCUGGGCUC
rnacentral:piRNA from 1 species